GACAAAAAUGUUUGCGUGUCACGAUUACUGUAGGUGUGCAUUGCUAAAUCUUGGCUGCUGAGUAGAGCUUGAUAUGGUGUUGUUACCUAUUAUUUUGAUGUAGCUGAAUAUAAUAUGGAGUAAUUCUUACAGGAAAAGGUAUUGAUGAAUACGUCUGUAAAGAGAUAUAGCCAAUGAAUGUUGAAAUUCUGUCAUUUUUCAGAGGAGAAAAAAAAAAGAGAGUAGUGGGAAUAUUGCAUUUUGUAUGAGCAAAUGCUUCAAAUUUAUAAGCUUGUGACUGGUCUUGAUUCAUAUUUGUGGCUAGUUAAAUUCAAUGGAACUAAAGAAUCUAAAUUUUUAAAAGAUAUAUUUUUUUUCUGUAACCAUUUUGGUAAAUUCUCUUUGUUUAACAAAUAUGUGGAAUGUUCCUCCCAAAAGGGCCAGAAAAAAAUAAGUAAUCAUGCGCAUUACCUUGUAUUGGCACAAGUGCUUCUAACAAGAGUAUGUUGCUUACUGAAAAAAAAACAAAAAAAUUAGUUAUGAAUUUGACAGUCAUAUUAAGUGAGUAAGUUGAACUGAAGACUCAUCACAAUCUUUUCAUCCUAGCAGUGCCCUGCGGUAAUCACUCAGAGGAGGCUCUUCCUUGCCUACAUGGGAGCAUUAGAGGCCCUCCAUUGUGCUGAGGAUUUUGUCAGUAAUGUCAUCACUACAGCACAGGGCAGAUCUGCACCCAUCUUGCUAUCUGCGUCUUCCAUGGGUCAGAGGUCUACAGGAAGCUCCACAACACCUCCUCUCUGCUCAUUUCUUCUUCCAGAGAAGUCAGAGCGUGCAAUGUGGAGGAAUGGGAUGAGCUCCCUCCAUCACACAGGUGGAAAAGGGAAGCGAUGCUCUGCUCACACACUGGCCAAUGACACCGUGAGAUUAAACCACUCUCAAGAAAAAAAGCCUUCAGAUUUAUUUCUGGAAGAGAGUUUUGAGUUUCAAGACCAGUAAUAACUUAUACAGGGACAUGGUAUAGCUGUUAGUUUCAGUAUCUCUUAUUUACAUAUGAGAAGUGUUUAAUGCCAGGAUUCUUUACUGCUUUGCUUUGUGUCUUGGGGACUCCACUGAGUGUAGGUCUACAGACCCAGUGAGGGUCUACAAGAUUAUACAGAGGGGAAGAUCUUUGUGAGCGAUAUUGGAAGAAUUAUUUAUUUAUUUAUUUUAAGGAGAGUAACUGUGGGUAAAGUACAAAUUGGAAACAUUUCUUAAAAGAGAACUACUUGGGAAGAGGUCAUAUACAUCAAUCCUAUUAUCUAGAAAAAUGCUCUGCUUUUACAAAGUUUUCACUACUCAAGUUAAACACCGCUUCUUUUAUAGAGGAAUUCUGUAUGGGGCAAGGGCAGAAAAUGUGAUUAUUCAGUCCUGGGUGAAUGUUUCCUCUGAACAUCAUGACUGAAAACCACGGAAGCAAAACAGCAUU